UUUUACCCCACCAGCACCCAGUCCCGGCCCUGUCCUGUCUUGCACCAUGCUCUUCCACUCCCGCUCUCUUCCCCUCUGGCCAACCCAUGCCACUCCCCGCCCCCGAGAGGCUGUCACUCCACUCUGGCUGUGUGUGUGUGUUCCCCGCGUGCACCUUCUAACCUUGACCCCAGCCCUUCAUCCCGGCGUAGGUGGCUGUCAAAGUGUUCAACUCACCUUUCAGUCUGGAAGGGCUUUCCCGAUUGCGUUGGCCAGAAUGUCAUGUUUGCCUUCCCUUUCCAGAUUAUGGACGGUUCCUUCGUACAGCACAGUGUGAGGGUCCUGCAGGGACUCAACAAACAGCGCGAGAUGGGGCAGUAUUGCGACGCCACGCUGGACGUAGGGGGCUUGGUGUUCAAGGCGCACUGGAGUGUCCUGGCCUGUUGCAGCCAUUUCUUCCAGAGAAUCUAUGGGGACGGCUCAGCCGGCAGCGUUGUCCUCCCUGCGGGUUUUGCUGAGAUUUUUGGCCUCCUGUUGGACUUUUUCUAUACCGGUCACCUCGCCCUCACCUCAGGGAACAGGGAUCAGGUUCUCUUGGCAGCCAAGGAGUUACGGGUGCCAGAGGCUGUGGAGUUAUGCCAGAGCUUCCAGCCCAGAACCUCAGUGGGACAGACACACAGUGGCCUCGGGCAACCUGCCUCCCAGGAUGUGAAAAGCCACCUCAAGGAGCCAGCAGACUUGGACGAGGAGGAAGUUUUCAGGACUCUGAGCCUGGCUCCGGUGGAUCAGGAGCCCAGAGACAGUCCACAGCCUCAGCUCAACCCCCCUGCUCAGGGCAGCCCCUCCUCCCUCUGUGGGAAAAUCAAGCCGACGAUGAAGCCUUGUCCCUCAGAGGACAAAGAGUCCGAGGACUGCAAAGAGCCCCCAAGGCCCUUCGAGGCUGAAGGUGCCCCGCUGCAGGGCGAGAGCAGUGAGUGGGAAGUGGUGGUUCAAGUUGAGGACGACGGCGAUGGCGAUUAUGCGUCUGAGCCUGAGACUGUGCUGACAAGGAGGAAGUCAAAAGUGACCAGAAAGCCCUGUGCUUCGGAGCCAGACCUGGGUGCGGGUUCCCUGACAGCAGAGCCCCCUGAGAGCAGAAAAGGCGCAGCUGUGCCAGUUGAAUGUCCCACAUGUCAUAAAAAGUUCCUCAGCAAAUACUACCUAAAAGUCCACAACAGGAAACACACUGGGGAGAAACCCUUUGAGUGUCCCAAGUGCGGGAAGUGUUACUUUCGGAAGGAGAACCUCUUGGAGCACGAAGCCCGGAAUUGCAUGAGCCGCUCAGAACAGAGACUGGCCAGUUGCAGCUGGCCCCUGUCUCUAGGCUGUCUGGAGCUGAGAAGGGUCUGGCGUGUGGUAGUGUGCAGUGCUCUGAUGGUUAAGGCAGGCAGGUUACAUGUUGCCCUCUCCCACCCCAGCACCCCCUGCCCCGGGCAGACACUUCCCAGCAGCGUGUGGAAGCCCCUGCAGAGGCUGCCGUCGCAGGCAGAGGCCCUCCCUGAUGCUGGCCCUGCUUGCCCCUCACACUGCCAGGUCUUCACAUGCUCCGUAUGCCAGGAGACCUUCCGGCGGAGGACGGAGCUGCGGGCGCAUAUGGUGUCUCACACCGGGGAAAUGCCCUACAAGUGUUCCUCCUGCUCCCAGCAGUUCAUGCAGAAGAAGGACUUGCAAAGCCACAUGAUCAAGCUGCAUGGAGCCCCAAAGCCUCACGCAUGCCCCACUUGUGCCAAGUGCUUCCUGUCCAGGACGGAACUACAGCUGCACGAGGCUUUUAAACAUCGUGGAGAAAAGCUGUUUGUGUGUGAGGAGUGCGGGCACAGGGCCUCGAGCCGCAAUGGACUGCAGAUGCACAUCAAGGCCAAGCACAGGAAUGAAAGGCCUUAUGUCUGUGAGUUCUGCAGCCAUGCUUUCACCCAGAAGGCCAAUCUCAACAUGCACCUCCGGACGCACACGGGCGAGAAGCCUUUCCAGUGCCACCUCUGUGGCAAGACCUUCCGCACCCAAGGUGAGGCAGGCCCGUCCCCUCCUUGCCCCAGGGCUGAGGCAGCAACUGAGCCCCACCUUGUCCCCCACAGCCAGUCUGGACAAGCACAAUCGCACCCACACGGGUGAGAGGCCUUUCAGCUGUGAAUUCUGUGAGCAGCGCUUCACUGAGAAGGGGCCUCUUCUGAGGCAUGUGGCCAGUCGCCACCAGGAGGGCAGGCCCCACUUCUGCCAGAUCUGUGGCAAGACCUUCAAAGCCGUGGAACAGUUACGAGUGCACGUCAGGCGGCACAAGGGCGUGAGGAAAUUUGAGUGCACCGAAUGUGGCUACAGGUUCACUCGGCAGGUAGG